CCUACGAGGGGCUGCAGUGGGGAAUAUUGGACAAUGGGGGCAACCCUGAUCCAGCCAUGCCGCGUGUGUGAAGAAGGCCCUCGGGUUGUAAAGCACUUUCAGUGAGGAAGAACGCCUGGUGGUUAAUACCCAUCAGGAAAGACAUCACUCACAGAAGAAGCACCGGCUAACUCCGUGCCAGCAGCCGCGGUAAUACGGAGGGUGCGAGCGUUAAUCGGAAUUACUGGGCGUAAAGCGCGCGUAGGUGGCUUGAUAAGCCGGUUGUGAAAGCCCCGGGCUCAACCUGGGAACGGCAUCCGGAACUGUCAAGCUAGAGUGCAGGAGAGGAAGGUAGAAUUCCCGGUGUAGCGGUGAAAUGCGUAGAGAUCGGGAGGAAUACCAGUGGCGAAGGCGGCCUUCUGGACUGACACUGACACUGAGGUGCGAAAGCGUGGGUAGCAAACAGGAUUAGAUACCCCUGUAGUC
rnacentral:rRNA from 1 species